AGAAUCAACGCUGGCGGCGUGCCUAACACAUGCAAGUCGAACGCGAAAGUGGAGCAAUCCAUGAGUAGAGUGGCAAACGGGUGAGUAACGCGUGGGUGAUUUGCCUCAGGGUGGGGGAUAACCUUCCGAAAGGGGGCUAAUACCGCAUGACAUAGCGCUUUUAGAUGAGCGUAUAUCAAAGCUGGAACCGCAAGGUCUGGCGCCUGGAGAGAAGCCCGCGUCCGAUUAGCUAGUUGGUGAGGUAAUGGCUCACCAAGGCGACGAUCGGUA
rnacentral:rRNA from 1 species